GGGACUUAGAGCAUGAUAUGUUUCGCUUUCAGUGGUGGAAUGAGGAAGAGGCAAGUCUAAAGUGGUGCAGCUUCUCUCCCCAAAUGACAUUUGGAGGGAAAAAAGCUCACUGUUGAGGAGACUCUAACAUUGUGAUAUCGGAAGCAGUGCAGGUACACGUUGGAUGUUCCUGAGGAUGGACGCUGACAUGCAGAAAGCAUGUCUGUCCAGGAGCUUGUGCUGAAACAACGGACAGAGAUACUGCAUGCACUAUGCAGCAGUGGGUCAGCUGAACAUCUGGAACGGAUUCUGGACAUACUGCUGGCCCAUGGGGAUCUCAUAUGGGAGGAGUACCAGGACAUACAGGUACUGGGUAGGGCACUGUAUACCAAAGCCAGACAGUUGCUCGACCUGGUUUAUACAAAGGGUGUGGAUACUUCUGGGCUCUUCCUUGCUGCUCUCAAUCAAGUCCUGCCUGAGGCACAGAGAGUUGGCCUCUCGUUUUCAGGAUGCUGUUCAAAUCUAGAAGAGAAAAAAAAAUACCAGGGCACAUCUACUCAGAUUCUUCUGACUCAAAGACCAAGCCUAGUCAGCCAGCUACAGGGCUGCAUUGAUGGUGCUCUAAAAGCCCUCGUCAUAUCAGGACACUUCACCUCAGCAGACUGCGAUGAUGUGCGCCUACCUAUACACACGCAAUCCCAGCAGGCAAGGCGUUUUCUUGACCAUGUCAGAUCAAAAGGAGAACUAGCCGCGAAGGUUGUGUUGCAGUUCAUUGAGCAAAAACAGGAAUCUGGAUCACAGCUGAACGAGGACACAGUGACUCCUCCCAAAGAGUUAUUCAAGUAUCAGAAGAAGCUCAGCAGUUCUGUGUCUGCCCAGUCCUGCUUUCUCAGUACUUAUGGAGGGACCAGCCACAUGUCUCUGGAUGACAUCUACACUGAAGGCCAGCUGGAACUAUCUCAUGAGUGCGUUGAUGUCCAUGGGCCUUUGGGCGUGGAGGACAUAGUUGGUACAGUGGGUACAGUGAAUAAGGAGGCCGAUACGGUGUUAGUGUCUGGAGAUGCAGGCAGUGGGAAGAGCACCUUACUCCAGAGACUGCACUUGCUUUGGGCUCGGGGGGCAGCCCUACAGGACUUUCUCCUUAUAUUUCCAUUCAGCUGUCGCAGGUUGAACUCUGAGCACAGGGAACUGUCUGUCCAAGAAUUGCUGUUUCAGCACUGCUGCUGGCCAGACAGGGAGCAGGAAGAGAUUUUCCAAUUCAUCCUUGACCACCCACAUCUCAUUCUCUUCACUUUUGAUGGCCUGGAUGAGCUCAAGCAGAGUUUUUCAGAUGAACACAGGCUCUGCUGCCCCACCCAGCGUGCCCCUGUUCACAUACUAUUGUUCAACUUAAUCCAGGGCUCCCUAAUGAAGGGAGUGCUGAAGGUGGUAACUAGUCGCCCAGAGGCAGUGGGCCCUGUGUUGAAAAAACACCUUCGCAAAGAGGUCUUCCUGAAAGGCUUUUCCCCAAGUGGAAUUGACUAUUUUGUGAGGAUGCAUCACAGGGACCCCACUGUGGCUGCUAAGGUUUUGGAGUCCCUACAGACAAACACUGCUUUACUUGGCCUGUGUCAUAGUCCAGUCCUCUGCUGGAUUGUCUCACAGUGCUAUAAAGAGCUGCUAGGCUGCGGAGAGGGCAGCCCACAAACAAUCACAGACGUGUACCUGAUGAUCUUACAACACUUUUUCCAGCACCAAAGCUCUCAGAGCACCCUGGGGAUAGGUUGGCUUCAGGAGAACUUAGAAACAGUUUUGCAUCUAGGGCAGCUUGCCUUUGAGGGGAUAGGAACCAGCUGUUACAUCUUCACAGGUUCCGACCUGGAGACUUGUGGUGUAACUGAAAAGGAUAUAUGCAUGGGCUUUCUCAUACAAAGCAAAGAUAUGUCCUCCACCCACAGUCAACGCUAUGAAUUCCUUCAUGUGACUAUGCAGUGUUUCUUUUCUGGUCUGUACAUUGUGUUGUCAAAUGACACUCACCGUUCGACUAUUCCUAAGCUCUUUGAGCAAAAGGGUAUGAGGGAGACAGAUCUGAGAAGCACAUGCUUCAGUGGCUGCUUGCCGUCCACUUACCAACAAGAGCAGGUUUUAGAGGGUGAAUCUACAGCAGUUGAAACACUAAAUCUGCAAAUCACAGCCACCUUUGUGUCAGGACUACUAUCCCAGCGGCAUCAAAGCCUGUGGAUCCACUGCUGCCCCAGCGCUGUGAUUGAGAAGAGGGCCAAACAGGUGUUGAGAUGCCUGUCCAAAGGCAUGCAGAAACACUUCAAGUCUAUCCCUCAACCUGUAGAGGGGGAGAAGAAGAGCAUGCAUGCAAUGCCAGGCUUUGUCUGGCUUAUCAAAUGCAUUUACGAGAUGCAGGAGAGCAGGAUUGCUAAGGAUGCCAUGAGCAAGCUGGAGGUGGACCACUUGAAACUGACCUACUGUAAUAUUGGUCCUGUAGAGUGCACUGCACUAGCCUAUGUGCUCCAGCAUUUAAAGAAUCCUGUAGGCCUCCAGCUGGACAACAAUUCUGUAGGCGAUGUUGGGGUGGAGCAGCUUCUUCCUUGCAUGCAUAUUUGUAAUUCACUGUAGUGAGUAUGAAAAGAUUACAUUCUUCCUCCCAUCUAUUCAUCAUAGUGACCUAAGCUACCACAUAUCAUUUAUUAGAAGAAAAAUACAUGUUAUGCUAAAGUGUAUUUUUCUUUUAUCAGCCUCAGGAAUAACAACAUUACAGAUGAGGGGAUCCGCAAACUGAUUGCUAAAGGUAUCCAGUGUGACAACUUCAAAAAAAUUGCACUCUUCAAUAACCAGCUAACGGAUGCUUGCACACAGCACUUUUCUCAUCUUCUGAAGACCAAGCAGGAUUUCCUUGCUAUAAGGCUAGGCAACAAUAAUAUAACAGCGGAAGGAGCAAAGCAGCUGGCAGAGGGACUGAAAUUCAAUCAUUCACUACAGUUUUUAGGGUAAAAACCCUUCCUGCAAAAUCCUGUGCAUCUUAUUGGUGCUGCAUUUCCAUUUACUACAUUUUCUGUGUAUCCACAGGCUUUGGGGCAAUAAGAUAGGUGAUGCAGGAGCAGAGGCACUUGCCAGUGCCCUAGAGAGCACCAAGUCUCUGGUGUGGCUUAGGUAAUAUUUUCUUUAAAUACUGGCACAUGAUAGGAAGAAAGAGUGGAAAAUGUAUUACAAAUAUGAAAUUCCACUUAUGUGUGAGGUUGCAUAAUCACCACAAUUGUAUUUAUAUAUCAGUUGUACAAUAUGUUUUGUGAUGGCAGCCUGGUAGGCAAUGGUGUAGGCAGUGCAGGAGCGUGUGCCCUUGCCAACAUUAUAAAGAACAGUACAUCACUGGAAGAGCUUUGGUAAGUGCUGGAGACAAGUUAUACUUGUAUUGACAAUCCACAUGACAUUUUAAUAGCUGAUUUAACAUUUGUGUACUCACUGUGCACUGUUUGAACUACUCCACCCUCUUAUUUCCUGUAAAAGGUUGACAGAGAACUGCGUAACCAGAACAGGGGUGGAAUGUCUGAUUCAAGCUCUAGAGCACAACACCCAUGUGAAAUCAAUAUGGUAUGUGAUGAACACUGAGACAUACACCCACAAA